rnacentral:rRNA from 1 species
UACGAAGGGGGCUAGCGUUGUUCGGAAUUACUGGGCGUAAAGCGCGCGCAGGCGGUCUUCCAAGUCAGUGGUGAAAGCCCGGAGCUCAACUCCGGAACUGCCAUUGAAACUGUAAGACUUGAGGACGAGAGAGGUGAGUGGAAUUCCCAGUGUAGAGGUGAAAUUCGUAGAUAUUGGGAAGAACACCGGUGGCGAAGGCAGCCCCCUGGGCUGACACUGACGCUCAGGCACGAAAGCGUGGGGAGCAAACAGG